rnacentral:rRNA from 1 species
UACGAAGGGGACUAGCGUUGCUCGGAAUCACUGGGCGUAAAGGGUGCGUAGGCGGGUCUUUAAGUCAGGGGUGAAAUCCUGGAGCUCAACUCCAGAACUGCCUUUGAUACUGAGGAUCUUGAGUUCGGGAGAGGUGAGUGGAACUGCGAGUGUAGAGGUGAAAUUCGUAGAUAUUCGCAAGAACACCAGAGGCGAAGGCGGCCUACUGGGCCAGUACUGACGCUGAGCCGCGAAAGCCAGGGGAGCGAACGGG